CUGCGUACUACUGGCAGUAUGCAGAUAAACACCACAGAGAGGUUGUGGCAGAGAACACAAAGUGCGAGGCUUAAACUUAUGAAGUUGUAGUGAAGCACUUAAUCAAUAUAUCUUUUUUUUUCAAAUCCAGGAAACCUUCAACGAGAACUUGGGUGGAAAAGAGCUGUGAUCUGUCCAGGGCUGGGGCAAACUGCACCGCCUUUGGAAAAAGUUUUAUGUUUUGCCAUAAAAUGUGGACUUUACCAUACCAGAACAUCCAAGAAGGUUUUGUUAUUCUGCUGAGCUGUUUGUUGUCAAAAGACAUCUUAAAAAUGAAGCAGGUUUUUCCCAACAUUUUCAAAAUGAACAUUUUUUUGGAUUCCCAGUUCCAUAUAAGUUUAUUUUUCCAUGUCCUUCCAAUGUAUAUGUUAGGGCUUUGCAAGUCGACAGCGAUCCGAUCUGGCUUCAGAUGUGGCUGCUUCGGAUGCCAGGGAUCCGAUCUGGAGCUCCGGACCAGGUUUGGAUGAAACUUGCAGGGGUGCUAGCCUCUGCCGAUAGAAUGCAUCCUGCCAAGUUUCAGGAAGAUCAGUGUAAGGGUUUGAGGAGACCUGUACCCCAAAUUCUUGAAAGCCAAACUCAUGUCAUGGCUGUGUGUUACACCACAGGGCUCUGAAAACUGCAGGAAUGGUGGCCCCUGAUGACACCACAAAGUCUGCCAAGUUUCAAGAAGAUUGGUGUAGGGGUUUGCAGGGAACUGCACCCCAAAUUCCUGAAAGCAAAACUCCUGUCACAUCUAUGUGUUACAACACAGGGGGGUCAAAACUGCAUGUGUGGUAGCUCUUGUCACUGCUGUGCACUGCAGCGAGGGGUACGAGGCCUUUAGGGGGCGUCAGGCGGGUACUUGUGACGCUUGGAGUGGAAUUAGGCACAGACGCUUAUUGGUUGCAAAGCAAGAUUAUUUACUCACUCCGUCAAGGUGGUGAAUAACGGAGGUCAGAGGUACUUGGUUAGUUACAGCUUAGAGUUCGUUAGGUCGGUCUGCAUAAGUGUUCGGGCAGAAAUGGUCGGGCCGGCAGUCGUUGAUUUACGUCUGAAAUUGGGUCAAGACAGGGGAACUGACAAUUGAUCAGAUUGUCAGUUACUCUGACACGUAUGUUCAGAGGUCUCCAAGGUGCGUACGGAAGUCUCCGACUUCGUGGAAGUGUAAGCAGGUUUUGUUUGUGUAAUAGCCAAUUGCUUUUCGCCAAUAAAUUUAAUAAAUGUAAUUAUAAUCGCCAAUUAUAUAGCGGUUUUCACUAGGGUAUUAUCACAGGGCUACUCCCUGUUUUCUUUGACCAAUUAUAAUGAUUUAUGUAAAGCACAGAAGGCCCAAGUUUCAUUUCUAGUUAGUGUCGCAGCUAUAAAUCUUUUUGGCAUGCACAGCAAAGAAGGCUGUUACUAUCAUCUUGUUAACCCUUAGUUAACCUAGU